AUGGAAUUUUAACACCGAAAUCAAUUUAAACUGAUACUCCAGCUAUUUAUAGAAUUUUUAUGUAUCGGUACCAUUUGGAAAUCAUAAGUAGGAGGUAAUCGUUUCACUCCCGAAAAUUGAGGCGACAAAAAAUAAAUUGUUUUAUAAAAUACAAUACUUUUCAAUACAUUAAGUAUAGCCACUUAAAUGGAUCACUCUUUAUUUGUAUAUAUAUAGAAUAUUCAGAGCUCGGACCUUUUA